GUUUUGUUGGUUUUUACCUUAAAGUUAGGUUUCUUAUGAAAGUUGUCUUUCUCAGUUUUCUCGAGUUUUGAAGAUGAUGAUGAUAGUGUAUUCACGUCGAGCCCUGUGUUUUACUUCGAAGACGCGCCUGAGUCGCCACCACCAAGCU